UACGGGGGGGGCAAGCGUUGUUCGGAAUUACUGGGCGUAAAGGGCUCGUAGGUGGCCAACUAAGUCAGACGUGAAAUCCCUCGGCUUAACCGGGGAACUGCGUCUGAUACUGGAUGGCUUGAGGUUGGGAGAGGGAUGCGGAAUUCCAGGUGUAGCGGUGAAAUGCGUAGAUAUCUGGAGGAAUACCGGUGGCGAAGGCGGCAUCCUGGACCGACAUUGACGCUGAUGAGCGAAAGCUAGGGGAGCAAACGGG
rnacentral:rRNA from 1 species